UACGGAGGGGGUUAGCGUUGUUCGGAAUUACUGGGCGUAAAGCGCACGUAGGCGGAUCAGAAAGUUGGGGGUGAAAUCCCGGGGCUCAACCCCCGGAACUGCCUCCAAAAACUUCUGGUCUGGAGUUCGAGAGAGGUGAGUGGAAUUCCGAGUGUAGAGGUGAAAUUCGUAGAUAUUCGGAGGAACACCAGUGGCGAAAGGCGGCUCACUGGCUCGAUACUGACGCUGAGGUGCGAAAAGUGUGGGGGAGCAAAACAGG
rnacentral:rRNA from 1 species